AGGACGAACGCUGGCGGCGUGCUUAACACAUGCAAGUCGAGCGGUAAGGCCCUUUCGGGGGUACACGAGCGGCGAACGGGUGAGUAACACGUGGGUGACCUGCCCUUAGCUCUGGGAUAAGCCUGGGAAACUGGGUCUAAUACCGGAUAUGACCUCGCGAUGCAUGUCGUGGGGUGGAAAGCCUUGUGCGGCUAGGGAUGGGCCCGCGGCCUAUCAGCUUGUUGGUGGGGUGAUGGCCUACCAAGGCGACGACGGGU
rnacentral:rRNA from 1 species